CCGUGGAGGGUUUUUUCAAAAGAGGCUGUAGUGCGCACCAAAAGUUCAGCCUGUACUCAGUGAUAGACGCGGACAGGCUUGUGCACUGUUUAUCUAGUUGCUUCGUAUGUUUGUACAUAUGGAUGACAAGAAGCCUUUAAUAUUCAUAAUCUGCCUAUUGUAUUAUGUAGCCACGUGUGUUUUGGGCAACCCUGACGCAGCUUGCAGAUACAGGACAGCAAGGGUUUCCAAUAGAGGAGGUGAAAUGGUGUCUUGUUUUGAGCCAAGAGGAAGUAAUGACCCUGUGUGCAGGACAGGAUUGAAAAGCUUGGAGGGCUGCUGUGUUUACAUUAAAGAUGACCAGGCGUGGUUGAAGUGGGACGAGAAAACAAUAUUGAGAUGUGACAGCACACAUUAUGGGAACAGCGAUGGUGAAUGUGCCAGCAAUCAAUCCAGCCUUGACUGUGAUGGAGAGAUUUCUGCCAACAUGACACCUGGCACAGACACACCUGGCACAGACACACCUGGCACAGACACACCUGGACAGCAGAACACUACCCAGAACGGGACACCCACUGCCAGUCCAAGAGGUGGACCUACGCGAUUCCUGUAGAUCCGACGAGAAAAGGUUUGGAGGGGGGCUUUGGAUGACGAGUGAUGCGCG
ensembl:lncRNA